rnacentral:rRNA from 1 species
AGAGUUUGAUCCUGGCUCAGGACGAACGCUGGCGGUGCGCCUAAUGCAUGCAAGUCGAACGGGCGAAGGGGCUUCGGCCCCCUAGCUAGUGGCAGACGGCUGAGUAACACGUAAGUAUCUGCCCCGGAGAGGAGGAUAAGCCGGAGAAAUCCGGUCUAAUACUCCAUACGUUCUCUCUGUCUCGAUAGAGAGAAGAAAGGUUCCGGCGCUCUGGGAGGAGCUUGCGGCCUAUCAGGUAGUUGGUGGGGUAAAAGCCUACCAAGCCUAAGACGGGUAACCGGUGUGAGAGCACGAUCGGUCAGAGGGGGACUGAGACACGGCCCCCACUCCUACGGGAGGCAGCAGCAGGGAAUCUUGCGCAAUGGGCGAAAGCCUGACGCAGCGACACCGCGUGGGGGAUGAAGGCUUUCGAGUUGUAAACCCCUUUUCCCGGGGAUGAGAAAGGACAGUACCCGGGGAAUAAGGUUCGGCUAACUACGUGCCAGCAGCCGCGGUAAUACGUAGGAACCGAGCGUUGUCCGGAUUUACUGGGCGUAAAGUGCGCGUAGGCGGUUCGUUAAGUCUCAUGUGAAAUCUCCCGGCUCAACCGGGAGGGGUCAUGGGAAACUGGCGGACUGGAGUGCAGCAGAGGGGAGUGGAAUUCCCGGAGUAGUGGUGGAAUGCGUAGAUACCGGGAGGAACACCAGAGGCGAAGGCGACUCCCUGGGCUGUGACUGACGCUGAGGCGCGAAAGCGUGGGUAGCAAACCGGAUUAGAUACCCGGGUAGUCCACGCCCUAAACGAUGGAUACUAGGCAUGGGGGGUAUCGACCCCCUCCGUGCCGCAGCUAACGCAAUAAGUAUCCCGCCUGAGUAGUACGGCCGCAAGGCUAAAACUUAAAGGAAUUGACGGGGACCCGCACAAGCAGCGGAUCGUGUGGUUUAAUUCGAUGAUAAGCGAAGAACCUUACCAGGGCUUGACAUACGCCUGACCGGCUGUGAAAGCAGCCUUUCCUUCGGGACAGGUGUACAGAUGUUGCAUGGCUGUCGUCAGCUCGUGUCGUGAGAUGUUGGGUUAAGUCCCGCAACGAGCGCAACCCCUGUCGCUAGUUAGGAUGUCUAGCGAGACUGCCCCUACUGGGGUGAGGAAGGUGGGGUCGAGGUCAAGUCAUCAUGGCUCUUACGUCCUGGGCUACACACACGAUACAAUGGUUGGGACAGACGGUAGCGAAGGCGCGAGCCGGAGCCAAUCCCACAAACCCGGCCCCAGUUGGAAUUGCAGGCUGAAACCCGCCUGCAUGAACGCGGAGUUGCUAGUAACCGCAGGUCAGCACACUGCGGUGAAUACGUUCUCGGGUCUUGUACACACCGCCCGUCAAGUCAUGGAAGUCGGCAACACUUGAAGUCGCUGGGCUAACCCGCAAGGGAGGCAGGCGCCGAGGGUGGGGCUGGUGACUGGGACUAAGUCGUAACAAGGUAACCGUA